rnacentral:rRNA from 1 species
GAGUUUGAUCUUGGCUCAGAUUGAACGCUGGCGGCAUGCCUUACACAUGCAAGUCGAACGGCAGCACGGGAGCUUGCUCCUGGUGGCGAGUGGCGAACGGGUGAGUAAUGCAUCGGAACGUAUCCUGGAGUGGGGGAUAACGUAGCGAGAGUUACGCUAAUACCGCAUAUUCUGUGAGCAGGAAAGCGGGGGACCUUCGGGCCUCGCGCUCUUGGAGCGGCCGAUGUCGGAUUAGCUAGUUGGUGAGGUAAAGGCUCACCAAGGCGACGAUCCGUAGCAGGUCUGAGAGGAUGAUCUGCCACACUGGAACUGAGACACGGUCCAGACUCCUACGGGAGGCAGCAGUGGGGAAUUUUGGACAAUGGGGGCAACCCUGAUCCAGCCAUGCCGCGUGAGUGAAGAAGGCCUCGGUUGUUAAG